CCUACGGGAGGCAGCAGUGGGGAAUAUUGGACAAUGGGGGCAACCCUGAUCCAGCCAUGCCGCGUGUGUGAAGAAGGCCCUCGGGUUGUAAAGCACUUUCAGUGAGGAAGAACGCCUGGUGGUUAAUACCCAUCAGGAAAGACAUCACUCACAGAAGAAGCACCGGCUAACUCCGUGCCAGCAGCCGCGGUAAUACGGAGGGUGCGAGCGUUAAUCGGAAUUACUGGGCGUAAAGCGCGCGUAGGUGGCUUGAUAAGCCGGUUGUGAAAGCCCCGGGCUCAACCUGGGAACGGCAUCCGGAACUGUCAAGCUAGAGUGCAGGAGAGGAAGGUAGAAUUCCCGGUGUAGCGGUGAAAUGCGUAGAGAUCGGGAGGAAUACCAGUGGCGAAGGCGGCCUUCUGGACUGCAACUGACACUGAGGUGCGAAAGCGUGGGUAGCAAACAGGAUUAGAUACCCUAGUAGUA
rnacentral:rRNA from 1 species